rnacentral:rRNA from 1 species
UGGGGAAUUUUGGACAAUGGGCGAAAGCCUGAUCCAGCAAUGCCGCGUGUGUGAAGAAGGCCUUCGGGUUGUAAAGCACUUUUGUCCGGAAAGAAAUCCUUGGCUCUAAUACAGUCGGGGGAUGACGGUACCGGAAGAAUAAGCACCGGCUAACUACGUGCCAGCAGCCGCGGUAAUACGUAGGGUGCAAGCGUUAAUCGGAAUUACUGGGCGUAAAGCGUGCGCAGGCGGUUUGCUAAGACCGAUGUGAAAUCCCCGGGCUCAACCUGGGAACUGCAUGGUGACUGGCAGGCUAGAGUAUGGCAGAGGGGGGUAGAAUUCCACGUGUAGCAGUGAAAUGCGUAGAGAUGUGGAGGAAUACCGAUGGCGAAGGCAGCCCCCUGGGCCAAUACUGACGCUCAUGCACGAAAGCGUGGGGGAGCAAACAGGAUUAGAUACCCUGGUAGUCCACGCCCUAAACGAUGUCAACUAGUUGUUGGGGAUUCAUUUCCUUAGUAACGUAGCUAACGCGUGAAGUUGACCGCCUGGGGAGUACGGUCGCAAGAUUAAAACUCAAAUGAAUUGACGGGGUCAUAGCUGUUUCCU